rnacentral:rRNA from 1 species
ACGAACGCUGGCGGCGUGCCUAAUACAUGCAAGUCGAACGAGUCCUCCCAAUUUGAUUUUAUGCUUGCAUAAAUGAUUUUUGGAUUCGGGACGAGUGGCGAACUGGUGAGUAACACGUGGGUAACCUGCCCUAAAGCAGGGGAUAACAUUUGGAAACAGAUGCUAAUACCGUAUAAUUAGUUGGAACCACAUGGUUCCAACUUGAAAGAUGGUUCUGCUAUCACUUUAGGAUGGACCCGCGGCGUAUUAGCUAGUUGGUGAGAUAAAAGCUCACCAAGGCGAUGAUACGUAGCCGACCUGAGAGGGUAAUCGGCCACAUUGGGACUGAGACACGGCCCAGACUCCUACGGGAGGCAGCAGUAGGGAAUCUUCCACAAUGGACGCAAGUCUGAUGGAGCAACGCCGCGUGAGUGAAGAAGGGUUUCGGCUCGUAAAACUCUGUUGUUAAAGAAGAACAAGUGUAAGAGUAACUGUUUACGCUUUGACGGUAUUUAACCAGAAAGCCACGGCUAACUACGUGCCAGCAGCCGCGGUAAUACGUAGGUGGCAAGCGUUGUCCGGAUUUAUUGGGCGUAAAGCGAGCGCAGGUGGUCUUUUAAGUCUGUUGUGAAAGCCCUCAGCUCAACUGAGGAAGUGCAGCGGAAACUAGGAGACUUGAGUACAGAAGAGGAUAGUGGAACUCCAUGUGUAGCGGUGAAAUGCGUAGAUAUAUGGGAAGAACACCAGUGGCGAAGGCGGCUAUCUGGUCUGUUACUGACACUGAGGCUCGAAAGCAUGGGUAGCGAACAGGAUUAGAUACCCUGGUAGUCCAUGCCGUAAACGAUGAAUACUAGGUGUUGGAGGGUUUCCGCCUUUCAGUGCCGCAGCUAACGCAUUAAGUAUUCCGCCUGGGGAGUACGACCGCAAGGUUGAAACUCAAAGGAAUUGACGGGGGCCCGCACAAGUGGUGGAGCAUGUGGUUUAAUUCGAUGCUACGCGAAGAACCUUACCAGGUCUUGACAUCUUCUGCCAACCUAAGAGAUUAGGCGUUCCCUUCGGGGACAGAAUGACAGGUGGUGCAUGGUUGUCGUCAGCUCGUGUCGUGAGAUGUUGGGUUAAGUCCCGCAACGAGCGCAACCCUUAUUAUUAGUUGCCAGCAUUAAGUUGGGCACUCUAGUGAGACUGCCGGUGAUAAACCGGAGGAAGGUGGGGAUGACGUCAAAUCAUCAUGCCCCUUAUGACCUGGGCUACACACGUGCUACAAUGGAUGGUACAACGAGUCGCGAAACCGCGAGGUCAAGCUAAUCUCUUAAAGCCAUUCUCAGUUCGGAUUGCAGGCUGCAACUCGCCUGCAUGAAGUUGGAAUCACUAGUAAUCGUGGAUCAGCAUGCCACGGUGAAUACGUUCCCGGGCCUUGUACACACCGCCCGUCA